GUUGUUGCGUAACAGGCGGGGAGAAAAAGGCUAAGGGACUAAGAUAUCAAGGUUUAUCACUGAGGACAAGCGGGUUUUUUAGCCUGUUGAUUAUGGGCGAGGUCGACUGGAUAAAGAUAUGAU
ensembl:ncRNA T19A5.7 ncRNA